CAGUAAAUUAGACAAGUCAAAGUAGAAAGAAACAAGUGGAAAUUGAACUUUUUUAUAUACACUUUGAAUACUUUUUCUGCACCAAUUAGAGGAACUGCUGGAACAGACUGGAACAUAGCCACACAUCAUACAUAAUUCAAAGCGAUAAGCCAAGAGCAAAAUUUCGAUUGGUGGUUGUCUGCGGGUAUUUGUCAAUAUUUAAUUUGCCAAAACCAAAGCCUCGACUGAAAUCGAAAUUAAAACCCACAUGCCAAGGAUGUCAACUUCUUGGACAGCCGCCGCCGACGCCGCAGCUGAGACUGCAGCCGAAGUGUUGACCAGUUCUAUUGGCAGGCGGACUGUCCAUCGACUGUCGUUAUCAGCACUGCCUUUGCCUCUGCUUCGAAUGGAACCCCACACAAAAAAGUGCCCCAUAAUAAUUCCAAUCAAUUACAGCAAUUAGCCCUGCUCUGUUGGCACAUAAAAAUCGCAUCAAUUGCAUUUAGAUUUUCGCCUUCAAUUGCACUUUAUUGCCCGUGCCUUGUUUUAUUUUAUUGUGGGGAUCUGUACCAUAUCGAUGGGUGUACAAUACAUUUAAUAGAGCUCUGGACUAUGCAGAGAUUUAUUGGUUUAGUGAACUCUGGAAACACUCUGGGGUUCUCAGUUUAAUAAACAAGACAAGAGAUAUACUAUAUUAAAUUAUUUGCUGAUCUUUUAUGGCAUGUUGUGAAAAGCUGAUGAACGAACGAUAUUUAUGCGA